UGUUGGCGGCGGCAGAGAGGCGACUUCUCUUCGACUCAAUCUCUGCGGCUUCGCCUCAUCGGCUUCUUUGACUCUCCCAUUUCCUAGCCCGCCUAUAACUCCCCCGUUUUCUUCUUCGCACCCAUCUGUGCCUCUCCCUGCAUCGAAUCUUCCAUUUACGCAAUACCCACCAUUAGAAUCGACCAGUCCCUUCUGAGGCUAGGAGGCACGAUCUUCCCUGGAGGCUUUGGUUUGAAAUCAGGAGAGAGAUUUAGUGAUGUGGUUGGUAGCCCAUAUUACGUUGCACCAGAAGUCUUACGCAAGCAGUAUGGUCCAGAAGCAGAUGUUUGGAGUGCUGGAGUGAUUCUUUACAAUCUGUUAAGUGGAGUGCCUCCAUUUUGGGCAGAGAGCGAGCAAGGGAUAUUUGAAGAAGUAUUACAUGGUGACCUAGACUUUUCAACAGACCCAUGGCCUAGUAUUUCUGAAGGUGCCAAAGAUUUAGUAAGGAAAAUGCUUAUUCGAGAUCCCAAAAGGCGGA